rnacentral:lncRNA from 13 species
CUUCGGUCCUCAGAAGCUCUUCUGGUUAAAAUCAUCUAAAAAGUUGUUUCAAGUCUCUGGAACAGCUGAGAUUAGCAAAAAUCAAUGAAGCUUCCUCUGUGUGGGCGCAGGUGCUGCACUGGGUGCUGGUAUGUGGAAAUGAGGAAGACUGUGCCUGAGGAUUUCAUAGCAGUUCUGGAAGCUGGAAAGUCCAAGAUCAAGGUGUCGGCAUCUGGUGAGGGCCUUCAUGCUGCAUUACUCCAUCAUGGAGGCAAAGUACAAGAGUGAGCAAGAGAGUACCAGGCAAGCAAGACAGGACUGGCCUCACUUUUAUAACAACCCACUCUUGCAAUAACCCACUCCUUCUAUAACAACAUUAACCCAUUCACAAGGGCACACCCCUUAUGGCCUAAUCACUUCUGGAAGGUUUGACAUCUCAAUACAAUCAUAACGGCAAGCAAAUUUCAACAUGAGUUUUGGAGGAGACAUUCAAACCAUAGCAGGGCUACUGUGGGGAUUAAGCAAGAUAAUGACCUGGCAUAGUUCAGUGCUCAGUAAAUGCCAGCUGUUAGUAUUAUUCUUGUGAUGAUCACAGUGGAUACUUCUAGAUGAGAGACCAAGAGUAGUAUGAAAAGGUAUAGUGGAGCCAAAUAUUAUUCACUGUCAAUGAUUCUUGGAUUGCCCCUCUGAUAAUAACAAAAAUAACCUACCUCAAAAGUUGUGGUGGAGAAUAAAUAAGAUAAAAAUGUAGGCUGGGUUUGCUGG